GGGUCAGCAUGGUGGCUUUAAAAGGGUUAACAAGAGGGGGAUUCAUUUUGGGGUCACACUGCACACCAUGCUUGAAUAUGUGAUUGCGAGGGGGGUUAAUUAGUAAAAUUGAUGUGACAUGUGUGCAGCCGUAAGCCUAGUUGUGUAAACGUGUGUAUAUGAUUCCUGUAUCAUGAGGUGUAUAUUUGGAGAGUGUUUGUUGGCGAGUUUGCACGCUGCACCGUUUGUCAGUAAAUAUUAUGUUGAGGACAAUUCUCUGCAAAUAUGACAGCAUGCAGACUCGCCAACAAACCCUCUCAUUACCACUUCAAAUAUACACAUUAUGAUGAAAAAAUGAUGUGCAUGAAUUAUAGGUGCACGUUUAUACAGCUGUGGUUAUAGCAGCACACCUGUACAGACAUGCAGCCAAUCAGUGCGCAGCAGAGCUCAACAAUAUGCUUUGGUGGGUCAAGUGGUGAGCCAAUCACAUGCAGCAAUCCAAAACCCUGAUAUAUGAUGUCUGAAUCCUGUCACUCUCUUUUAGGAUUGGAUGCAAGCUGUGGACUUGUUACUGGGUGUUAAAGCUACAGUUGGUGGGUUUUAUUAAAAUUACUUUUGUAUUUGCUGAAACUGUCAUUACAUCCACACAGUAGUACAUGAGACAGAUAAUCUUUGUAAAAACCAUAUAAUUCCUCCUCCUCUUUGUGCUUCGUGGCACGAAAACACCCAUUCAAAGCCAAGGAGUCUCUUAACGCAGCUGUCAAUCCUGUCGAUUACUGCUCGUGUCCUCAAGUCAAACUGUAACACUCGGCAGCGCUGAUCAAAUAUGAAUCAAAAUUCAGAAGGGUAUCCUAGUGUGGUGGGAAAUACUUCCCUCAGUGCUAGAGAAAGCUGUGUUGACCAUGGUGUCAGUGAAUGCACCCUUGCCCUGACUCCUCCUCCUCUCUCAAUCAGGGCCAGGCUAUAUAAAGCACCUGAGCCCAUUGUUCUUCCUCUGCUUCCUGAACUCUGUCACUGCUGUGGCUGUUGGUGUGUGGUUCCCACAGUCUUGAUGAACGUGUGGUGAGGACGUUUCCCCCUGCCUUGGCGAUCCUGACGAUUGUAUUUGGUUAAUGCCCUGUGUGGUGGUUCACCAACACAUACCACUGCUGUUUUGCCCCUUUGGUUUUGCCUUAGUUUAAUGUUUAACUUGGUUUUGAAUCUCUAAUUUCCUUGAUUAUUUUGCCUUUUGUUAUACUUUUAGUUUCCCUUAGUUCAGUCCUAUUUUGCUCAUUUGUUUGCAAUUUGUGUCAAGUUAAAUUGGAAUUACCACAUUUGUAUUGUUUUGGCCCUUGAAUGGUGACCUUUGUGAUUUAUUUUGUUAUCGGAGUCUGUUGGUUUGUUUUAUUUUGACAUAUUUUUCUGAGUUGUAGUGUAGUUUUGUAUUUUAAGCCAACUGGGUUACAUCUCAGUAGUUCCAAUCCUUUUGUGAGUCCUUUUCCUUCACUUUUUGUGUGUAACUGCACAGGGACACAAAGGCUGCACCAUUUUUUUGCUGUGAGGAUUGCUGUGUGACUGCAUGGUGGUGCCUCUCCACAAGUGGCCUCAGCUUGAUUUCAUUUGGACUGUUUUUAUAAUAACACUAUUAAGAAUUCAUCUUAAGGCCUUUUUGAAAGACAAAUAAUUGUAAUAAAGGCAUAUUUUUAUACA